AUGCUGCGAGUUCGCUUCUUUCUGUUCGCCUCGCUGCUGCUGCUGCUCUUCGCGGCCGAUAUGCUCGUCGGCCAAACAGCAGCCAGGGCAUUCGGCACAGAUUACGAAGACGCCUGCACUGAUUCCGUGUCGCUCGUUAUGGUUGACGCUAAGCCGAGGCCCGCCCAAACGGAUAAUUGUCCACCGGGCCAAAUCAUGAUAAGGGGAAAAUGCAGGCCUGCUUAUUAAUCUCUCUGAAAGGAGUUUUGUUCGCUCAACUUCUCCCUGGCAGCGCGGCGCUAAUAUUAAUUCAGCUUAAAAAUUGUACUUGAUUUUGUUCUAAUAAAAUUUCUUUAAACCAAAUUAA